AUAUUGGGCAAUGGACGCAAGUCUGACCCAGCCAUGCCGCGUGGAGGAUGAAGGUCCUCUGGAUUGUAAACUUCUUUUAUCUGGGAAGAAAUGCCUGUUUUCUAAUGGGUUUGACGGUACCAGAUGAAUAAGCACCGGCUAACUCCGUGCCAGCAGCCGCGGUAAUACGGAGGGUGCAAGCGUUAUCCGGAUUCACUGGGUUUAAAGGGUGCGUAGGCGGAUGUGAAAGUCAGUGGUGAAAUCCCCGAGCUUAACUUGGGAACUGCCGUUGAUACUCUACAUCUUGAAUAUCGUGGAGGUAAGCGGAAUAUGUCAUGUAGCGGUGAAAUGCUUAGAUAUGACAUAGAACACCGAUUGCGAAGGCAGCUUACUACACGAUGAUUGACGCUGAGGCACGAAAGCGUGGGGAGCAAACAGG
rnacentral:rRNA from 1 species